GUGGGGAAUAUUGGACAAUGGGCGCAAGCCUGAUCCAGCCAUGCCGCGUGAGUGAUGAAGGCCUUAGGGUUGUAAAGCUCUUUCAGUGGGGACGAUAAUGACGGUACCCACAGAAGAAGCCCCGGCUAACUUCGUGCCAGCAGCCGCGGUAAUACGAAGGGGGCUAGCGUUGUUCGGAUUUACUGGGCGUAAAGCGCACGUAGGCGGAUCGUUAAGUCGGGGGUGAAAUCCUGGAGCUCAACUCCAGAACUGCCUUCGAUACUGGCGAUCUUGAGUCCGGAAGAGGUUAGUGGAACUCCUAGUGUAGAGGUGGAAUUCGUAGAUAUUAGGAAGAACACCAGUGGCGAAGGCGGCUCACUGGUCCGGUACUGACGCUGAGGUGCGAAAGCGUGGGGAGCAAACAGGAUUAGAAACCCGAGUAGUCC
rnacentral:rRNA from 1 species